AAAGGCUUAGUUAAAUAAUAACACUAAUUUGUCAAAUUAAUAUUACUCCCUAGGUAGCCUUUA
rnacentral:tRNA from 1 species